UACGUAGGGGGCAAGCGUUGUCCGGAUUUAUUGGGCGUAAAGAGCGUGUAGGCGGCCUGAAAGGUCAGCUGUGAAAACUCGAGGCUCAACCUCGAGACGUCGGUUGAAACCAUCUGGCUAGAGUCCGGAAGAGGAGUGUGGAAUUCCCGGUGUAGCGGUGAAGUGCGCAGAUAUCGGGAAGAACACCCGUGGCGAAGGCGGCACUCUGGGACGGUACUGACGCUGAGACGCGAAAGCGUGGGGAGCGAACAGG
rnacentral:rRNA from 1 species